rnacentral:rRNA from 1 species
GACGGAGGGCGCAAGCGUUGUUCGGAAUCACUGGGCAUAAAGAGCACGUAGGCUGUUAGUUAAGUCUUGUGUGAAAGCCCCCGGCUCAACCGGGGAACUGCACCAGAUACUGGCUGACUAGAGGACAGGAGGGGUGAGUGGAACUCCAGGUGGAACGGUGAAAUGUGUAGAUAUCUGGAGGAACACCGGUGGCGAAAGCGGCUCACUGGCCUGUCUCUGACGCUGAGGUGCGAAAGCUAGGGGAGCAAACGGG